rnacentral:lncRNA from 12 species
GAUCCUAACUAUGGGCUAAAAAAAUAAAAUAAAAUCCAUCACACCAAUAUCACAGACACUGAAUGCAAACCAACCAGAACCUGGCUUAAGCCUUUGCACACACAGUUGGGCAUAUUUUGUACUAGAAAACAAAUACAUUAAAGAAUUAUGUUUACUCCCUUACAGCUAACUUAGUGGUAAGGGAAGUGAAUCAGUCCCAAUAUUUUGAAGAUUAAAUUAUGAAAGGUAAUGCAUGUACACAGUAGAGUCACACAUCAGUUCAACUCGUCAAUUUAUCUGCAGGAUCAUUGCUGAGACUUGGAGUAAGGGAGAGAUUGAUGUGAGGAUCUACACAGCAAGGAAGAGCAUAAGAAACAUAAGUGAGAAAUCUGCCUCUCAGAACUGAAAAUGUGUUCUGAAAUUCAUUUGCAUCAGCAUUGAAGCAUCUUCAAGUAAGGUAAGAUUACCAACAAAUUGCCAACACUAGUGCUUUGGGUAUAUUUAAAGAAUUUUUCCUCUGGCAUUCUAGUUUAUCACUGGAUUUUUCUUCUAUAAACACAAAGAUCUAUCCUCCUUGGAUGUGAGAAAUUUUAUUGCAAAACAAUCAGUAAAGACACCUUGAUGUACCAUCUGGAAUUAAAGAGAAUUGAAGGGAAAAAAUGCGGAAAGGUUGAAAAACAACCAAAUCGAUGCAGUGUAGAAAAAAAAUUGCUUGAGAUGGGAUGUAAUUGAAUAAAGAUAUACAUGGUGUAGAUAAUGUCA